rnacentral:rRNA from 1 species
AUUGAACGCUGGCGGCAUGCUUUACACAUGCAAGUCGAACGGCAGCGCGGGCUUCGGCCUGGCGGCGAGUGGCGAACGGGUGAGUAAUGCAUCGGAACGUGCCCAGUAGUGGGGGAUAGCCCGGCGAAAGCCGGAUUAAUACCGCAUACGACCUGAGGGUGAAAGCGGGGGACCGAAAGGCCUCGCGCUAUUGGAGCGGCCGAGGUCGGAUUAGCUAGUUGGUGGGGUAAAGGCUUACCAAGGCGACGAUCCGUAGCUGGUCUGAGAGGACGACCAGCCACACUGGGACUGAGACACGGCCCAGACUCCUACGGGAGGCAGCAGUGGGGAAUUUUGGACAAUGGGGGCAACCCUGAUCCAGCCAUGCCGCGUGCGGGAAGAAGGCCUUCGGGUUGUAAACCGCUUUUGUUCGGGAAGAAAUCCUCUGGGCUAAUACCCCGGGGGGAUGACGGUACCGGAAGAAUAAGCACCGGCUAACUACG